rnacentral:misc_RNA from 1 species
GAUAAGCUUCAAGUUGCAAAGUUCUGAGACUAAGGCCCAGAUCUAUAAUACCAUCAUCUUCUUUUGCCUGAUAGUAAACUGAGUGAGGGGCAGAAGGAUUCAGAAAGAAGCCUGAUGUGUUGGAAUCCAUUAUAAUAUUGCAUAAAGGCGUAAAUAUGAAUGUUGGAGGUUAAGGUCUAUUGAUUUUCACCAGGUAGGCGAACCUGUUUAUAUAUCAUUGGUAGCCAUAUCUGAACCUGCAAAACAUUGGGAGUACAAGUGGGGGCAAUUGGGCAAACAUGGAAGACAAGCAACCUUAUUAACCAUCAUCAAUCAUUGAGUGGUGCUUAUCUUCUUCUGUUAUUUCUGGUACUACCAACAUGUAAGUACACACAAGGAAGUUACUAAAAAACAGAAAAACAAGGGAUGGCUAGAGUGAUCAUAAAAAAAUUGGUUUAGAUUCUGCAACCCACCAUUGAUACAAUGGUUUUGCUUUUCAGGUUGAAAAUCCAAAAAAAUUGAUCAGGAUGGUACUUCUUCACACCAACAAUAACAAUA